UGCGUAGACGGUUGCAUAAGUCGGAUGUGAAAUCCCCGGGCUCAACCUGGGAAUUGCAUUCGAGACUGUGUAGCUGGGGUGCGGAAGAGGGAAGCGGAAUUUCCGGUGUAGCGGUGAAAUGCGUAGAUAUCGGAAGGAACAUCAGUGGCGAAAGCGGCUUCCUGGUCCAGCACCGACGUUCAGGCACGAAAGCGUGGGGAGCAAACAGGAUUAGAUACCCUGGUAGUCCACGCCAUAAACGAUGAGAACUAGACGUUGAGAAGGUAAGCCUCCCAGUGUCGUAGCUAACGCGCUAAGUUCUCCGCCUGGGAGUACGCCGCAAGGUUGAA
rnacentral:rRNA from 1 species